AGCUGCAAUGCAGCAAAACGCCAAACUUUUGCACGUGUUUGCUUUUCUGAAUGGAAGUCAAUCGGGCGAAAAGUGGUAAUGACUGGGAGAAUCUCCUCUCCACGGCACACUAUACUACGAUUAUGGAGAAGAGAAGAAAGAUGCCCGAUUAAACACAGCAAACGAGCGAUUAAGCGAUGCGGCUGCUACCACGAGUACACAAAGCGAUGUGCCAUGAGUGUCUACUAGAGACCAGCAACUCACGGAUUCGAUGGAAAAAGAAGAGUCAGCCGCUCCUGUCUUGUGCUCUACAGUGUGGUCCACUUGUCUUUGCACCCUGGGAAGGGCAAUGCUGUCACAAGGCAGUUUUUUUUUCACCACUGAUGGGAAUAAAUAUACUGCCAGACAGGAAGUGAGCAGAAGAUUAGGACAGUGGUGCAGAAUGAUGAUCAUCAACCCUGCAUGUCAAUGUGAGAGGGUCAGUGGCUUGUUUGCCACCACCCACAUGCCCUGGGGUAAUGGU